ACAAGCGGUGGAUGAUGUGGAUUAAUUCGAUGCAACGCGAAGAACCUUACCUGGUCUUGACAUGUACGGAAUCCUCCAGAGACGGAGGAGUGCCUUCGGGAGCCGUAACACAGGUGCUGCAUGGCUGUCGUCAGCUCGUGUCGUGAGAUGUUGGGUUAAGUCCCGCAACGAGCGCAACCCUUGUCAUUAGUUGCCAUCAUUUAGUUGGGCACUCUAAUGAGACUGCCGGUGACAAGCCGGAGGAAGGUGGGGAUGACGUCAAGUCCUCAUGGCCCUUAUGACCAGGGCUUCACACGUCAUACAAUGGUCGGUACAGAGGGUAGCCAAGCCGCGAGGUGGAGCCAAUCUCACAAAACCGAUCGUAGUCCGGAUUGCACUCUGCAACUCGAGUGCAUGAAGUCGGAAUCGCUAGUAAUCGCAGGUCAGCAUACUGCGGUGAAUACGUUCCCGGGUCUUGUACACACCGCCCGUCACACCAUGGGAGUGGGGGAUACCAGAAGUAGGUAGGGUAACCGCAAGGAGCCCGCUUACCACGGUAUGCUUCAUGACUGGGGUGAAGUCGUAACAAGGUAACCA
rnacentral:rRNA from 1 species